rnacentral:rRNA from 1 species
UACGUAUGGUGCAAGCGUUAUCCGGAUUUACUGGGUGUAAAGGGAACGCAGGCGGUCUUUUAAGUCUGAUGUGAAAGCCUUCGGCUUAACCGGAGUAGUGCAUUGGAAACUGGGAGACUUGAGUGCAGAAGAGGAGAGUGGAACUCCAUGUGUAGCGGUGAAAUGCGUAGAUAUAUGGAAGAACACCAGUGGCGAAAGCGGCUCUCUGGUCUGUAACUGACGCUGAGGUUCGAAAGCGUGGGUAGCAAACAGG